CAAGUCGAACGUUGUUUCAGGGAGCUGGGCAGAAAAAAAAGGCUCUAGCUAAAGGUAGCUUGUCUCGCCCAGGAGUGAGAACAGUUGAGAACAAAGUGGCGAACGGGUGCGUAACGCGUGGGAAUCUGCCGAACAGUUCGGCCAAAUCGAAGAAAGCUAAAAAGCGCUGUUUGAUGAGCCUGCGUAGUAUUAGGUAGUUGGUCAGGUAAAGGCUGACCAAGCCAAUGAUGCUUAGCUGGUCUUUUCGAUGAUCAGCCACACUGGGACUGAGACACGGCCGGACUCCCACGGGGCAGCAGUGGGAAUCUUGGACAAUGGGCGAAAGCCCGAUCCAGCAAUAUCGGUGAGUGAAGAAGGCAAUGCCGCUUGUAAAGCUCUUUCGUUGAGUGCGCGAUCAUGACAGGACUCGAGGAAGAAGCCCGCUAACUCCGUGCCAGCAGCCGCGUAAGACGGGGGCAAGUGUUCUUCGGAAUGACUGGGCGUAAAGGCACGUAGGCGGUGAAUCGGGUUGAAAGUGAAAGUCGCAAAAACUGGCGGAAUGCUAUCGAAACCAAUUCACUUGGUGAGACAGAGGAGAGUGGAAUUUCGUGUGUAGGGGUGAAAUCCGGAGAUCUACGAAGGAACGCAAAAGCGAAGGCAGCUCUCUGGGUCCCUACCGACGCUGGGUGCGAAAGCAUGGGAGCGAACAGGAUUAGAUACCUGGUAGUCCAUGCCGUAAACGAUGAGUGUUCCCUUGUCUACACGGAUCGGAUCAGGGCCCAGCUAACGCGUGAAACACUCCGCUGGGGAGUACGUCGCAAGACGAAACUCAAAGGAAUUGACGGGGCUGCACAAGCGGUGGAGCAUGUGGUUUAAUUCGAUACUACGCGCAAAACCUUACCAGCCCUUGACAUAUGAACAACAAAACCUGUCCUUAACGGGAUGUACUGACUUUCAUACAGGUGCUGCAUGGCUGUCGUCAGCUCGUGUCGUGAGAUGUUUGGUCAAGUCCUAUAACGAGCGAAACCUCGUUUUGUGUUGCUGAGACAUGCGCUUAAGGAGAAAGUCUUUGCAACCGAAGUGAGCCAAGGAGCCGAGUGACGUGCCAGCGCUACUAAUUGAGUGCCAGCACGUAGCUGUGCUGUCAGUAAGAAGGGAGCCGGCGCCUUUCUAAGUACUUUCUAGUUAGCGCUUUCGUUUUCAAUAAGGACGUUAGGCUUUACUAAUAAAUAGAAAGGCUUUUCUCGCUUGUUUAGUAAAGUCACGUUUUUGGCCUUAUCUUGCGGGUGACGACGACGUCGAGUUGGCGGCGGAGAAAGACUCGGCAUUCAGGCGAGCCGCCGGUGGUUGUACGUAGUGGUUAGUA
rnacentral:rRNA from 1 species